AAGUCGUAACAAGGUCUCCGUAGGUGAACCUGCGGAGGGAUCAUUACAAGAACGCCCGGGCUUCGGCCUGGUUAUUCAUAACCCUUUGUUGUCCGACUCUGUUGCCUCCGGGGCGACCCUGCCUUCGGGCGGGGGCUCCGGGUGGACACUUCAAGCUCUUGCGUAACUUUGCAGUCUGAGUAAACUUAAUUAAUAAAUUAAAACUUUUAACAACGGAUCUCUUGGUUCUGGCAUCGAUGAAGAACGCAGCGAAAUGCGAUAAGUAAUGUGAAUUGCAGAAUUCAGUGAAUCAUCGAAUCUUUGAACGCACAUUGCGCCCCCUGGUAUUCCGGGGGGCAUGCCUGUUCGAGCGUCAUUUCACCACUCAAGCCUCGCUUGGUAUUGGGCAACGCGGUCCGCCGCGUGCCUCAAAUCGUCCGGCUGGGUCUUCUGUCCCCUAAGCGUUGUGGAAACUAUUCGCUAAAGGGUGUUCGGGAGGCUACGCCGUAAAACAACCCCAUUUCUAAGGUUGACCUCGGAUCAGGUAGGGAUACCCGCCGAACUUAA
rnacentral:rRNA from 1 species